rnacentral:rRNA from 1 species
UACGAAGGGGGCUAGCGUUGUUCGGAAUUACUGGGCGUAAAGGGCGCGUAGGCUGUGCUGUAAGUCAGGCGUGAAAGGCCCGGGCUCAACCUGGGAACUGCGCUUGAUACUGCGGCGCUUGAAGACGGGAGAGGAUGGCGGAAUUCCCAGUGUAGAGGUGAAAUUCGUAGAUAUUGGGAAGAACACCAGUGGCGAAGGCGGCUCACUGGCCCGGUACUGACGCUGAGGUGCGAAAGCGUGGGGAGCAAACAGG